rnacentral:rRNA from 1 species
CACGUGGGCAAUCUGCCCUGCACUCUGGGACAAGCCCUGGAAACGGGGUCUAAUACCGGAUACGACACAGGGAGGCAUCUCCUCUGUGUGGAAAGCUCCGGCGGUGCAGGAUGAGCCCGCGGCCUAUCAGCUUGUUGGUGAGGUAACGGCUCACCAAGGCGACGACGGGUAGCCGGCCUGAGAGGGCGACCGGCCACACUGGGACUGAGACACGGUCCAGACUCCUACGGGAGGCAGCAGUGGGGAAUAUUGCACAAUGGAGGAAACUCUGAUGCAGCCAUGCCGCGUGUAUGAAGAAGG